GAUGACUAAUCCUGGACUGAAUAUAAUAUGCCACGCAAACAAUGAACAGAAAUUCUAUAUAUAGGCAAAAAGUACCCGCAACAAACCAAGUGAACAGGCGAAGGUAUAUGUACAAGUCAGAAGAGAUAUUUCUUUUUGUUUCCCAGAAAUGUGUCGCCAUUGUUAUAAGAGCGACUGGACGCUCGCAGAAGCUUGCAGGUGUAUGUAACUGUGAAGUAUGGCGCAGGUUUCAAGCUUGAGCGUGUUGAUCAUUCUGAUAUUUUCUCUAUUAUCCGAGAUCAAACAAGGAGGUAUGGUGCUCGCUGCUGCAAUGCCGUCGCAUAGCUAUAGCAGGUAUGGGUGUCAUCCGCGACAUGCGACCCGUGCUACUACAAGGCAGCACAUCCGUAAUUUACCAAAGAGUGCGACGCGAAGUCCAUAUCAAACAAGGAGGUAUGGUGCUCGCUGCUGCAAUGCCGUCGCAUAGCUAUAGCAGGUAUGGGCGUCAUCCGCGACAUGCGACCCGUGCUACUACAAGGCAGCCCACGCGUAUUUUAACAAGAGUGUGACGCGAAGUCCAUGUGCAUAUACUACGUUGACGAAACUCGGAUGAACGCUGGACAUACCAAAGAAAAGGUUCGGGAGGAUGUGAACGUCGUUACACGCCAGGAUACUUAUCGGGAAGGUCUGACAACAGGUCUUCGCGCACCCAGUGGCAAAGGUGGCAGGCUGAUCCUAUUGCACGCCAGUAGCGAGGAUGGCACCGUAAAUGGCGCUUGCCUCGUUUUCCGAGCAGCGAAAGGAGAUGGUGACUACCACAAAGAAAUGGGUGGGCCUGGUUCGAGAAGGGGUUACCUGAGCAGCUUCUACAAAACAGCAGACCAUGCAACGUUAUAGUAAUGGACAAUGCACCCUGCCCCAGUGUUCACCUCGAGAAAGUACCGACAGCAUCAACAGGAAAGGUUGACAUUCAGUCUUGGCUAACCGAAAAUGGCAUCACAUUUUUUUUAGGGUCAAUUAAAGCCAGAGUUGCUGGAGCUCGUCAGCCAACAAAAGAAGAUGUUUUCAGCUAAGCGCGUGGACGUGCCUGCUAAGCCUGCCGGUCCCGACGUCAUGAAGCUUCCUCCAUACCACUGCGAUUUGAAUCCAAUCGAACUGAGUUGGAGCCAGGUGAAAGGUUAAGGAGUGGCUAACAACACCGAAUUCGUCCUUGCAGCUGUCGAAAAGUUGCUGCAGGGAUGUAUCAAUCUUGCGACGGCAGACAAGUGGCUCAGGGCGUGUUCUCAUAAUCAGAGAAUCGCAGAGGAAUUCUGGCAGCGUGACAGCAUCAUUGACGCAAGCCUCGACGGGCUUGAAAUUUCACUCGUAUCAGAUACCAGCAGCGAGAAUGAUGCGAGUGAUAGUGAGAUGAGCGGAAUGGAAGACCUGCUGUGAAUACGGGCAUGGUCGCAGAAGCCUCCCCAACAUUGCGUUUUGUUCUUGGGCUUUUGUGUCAAGAUUUUACUUAUCACGCAGCACAUGAAAUAAUCGACUGUGAGGUUUUACGUGCCUAAACCACAGUAUGGGCCCAACGAACAGCACAGAGCUUCACCCUGGAACAUUGUGUGCCACUUUGUUUUUCCUUUUAAUUUUAAAAGCUGCUUAACCAAGCCGGCGUGAAAAAUACGUAAAAAAAUGCGCUUUUAGACAAGCACCACAAUUUAACGUACGGGCGGUUUUACAUUUUGCCCACAUGGAAAUUUGGCCGUACUGGGGGAGCGAACCCGCAAGCUAGCCAUUAGCAGCGCAAAGCUGCUACGCAGUCGUGGUGGGCGCAGGACAUGUGCAUUACCAUGGUAGUCAUAACAGUUGUGGCAAUAGUUAUAAAUAGCUCUGGAAAGCUGCAAUCACAUGGAAGUGAGUAAGUGAGUGAAAACGUUAUGGAGCUCUAGUAAUUGUGUUUUUCUGAGGCUGGGGUGGAUUCUUUAGGGGAUGGUCUUCCUCUUUGUGUCUUUCCUGGACGUCUUCACCCACUGCUUUGUCCACCCUCUAUCUACCUGGAAAGAGUAUUGGUAUAAAAAAGCUCUCAGUGCCCUUCCACUCUGUGAAGAAGGAUGACCAGCGAAGCUGUGUAUGUGGACCCCUUAAUGGGGAAAUGGACAUCUGCCGCGGUCGGCCCGGCGUUGCUCAAGUUUCGGGAUCGGCCCACGUAUGGGGAGUGCUUGACGCCUGCUUCACCUCCGUCAUGCUUCGGCCCGGCAUUGCACUAUCUACGGGAUCGGCCCACUUACGGAGUGUGCUUAACGCCUGCUUCACCUCCGCCGCGGGUCGGCCCGGCAUUACACUAUCUCCAGGAUCGGCCCACGCAUAAGAAGUUUUUUUUGCUUACCACGCCAACAACGACACGAAAAUUUUCAUGGACGGUAGAGGUAUACAGCUUCGCUGUAAUAAAGACGUUGAAUUUGCUCCUUGCAAUGAAACACAUCGCAUAUGGCAUGUCGUGGCGCGGCAUGCCGCACAAUGUUUAUGGAGAAUGCGCAGCAAAGUGCAUAGUCGGAGGCAUUUUCCAAAAGUUAGAGAAAUAGUGUAUUUUGGAUAAGAG